CCCUUAGAUGUCCUGGGCUGCACGCGCGCUACACUGAUGUGUCCAGUAAGCACCUAACCUCUUCCGAAAGGAACGGGUAACCUUUGCAAAGCACAUCGUGAUGGGGAUAGAUUAUUGCAAUUAUUAGUCUUGAACAAGGAAUUCCUAGUAAGCACAAGUCAUCAGCUUGUGUUGAUUACGUCCCUGCCCUUUGUACACACCGCCCGUCGCUCCUACCGAUUGAAUGUUCCGGUGAGCUCUUCGGACUGCGCGGUCUGCAGUUUCUGCGUUCCGUGCGGAAAGUUGCGCAAACCUUAACAUUUAGAGGAAGGAGAAGUCGUAACA
rnacentral:rRNA from 1 species